rnacentral:rRNA from 1 species
ACUCCUACGGGAGGCAGCAGUGGGAAUAUUGGACAAUGGGGAACCCGUAGCAUCCAGCAAUGCCGCAGUGUGUGAAGAAGGCCUGAGGGUUGUAAAGCACUUUCAGUGGGGAGGAACGGUUACUGUUUAAGAGAUAGUAGCUUUGACGUUACCCACAGAAGCAGCACCGGCUAACUCUGUGCCAGCAGCCGCGGUAAUACAGAGGGUGCAAGCGUUAAUCGGAUUGACUGGGCGUAAAGGGCGCGUAGGUGGUUAUUUAAGUUAGAUGUGAAAUCCCUGGGCUUAACCUAGGAACUGCAUUUAAUACUGGGUGACUAGAGUACGGGAGAGGGCAGUGGAAUUUCCGGGUGUAGCGGUGAAAUGCGUAGAUAUCGGAAGGAACACCAGUGGCGAAGGCGACUGCCUGGCCUGAUACUGACACUGAGGCGCGAAAGCGUGGGUAGCAAACAGGAUUAGAUACCCUGGUAGGCUCU